rnacentral:rRNA from 1 species
CACAUGCGUCCACGUAGCCCAAUCACACGACCAAGGCACUAGCUGAGCGAGCCCUGCCCAUUACGUGAGGCCCCUAGGGCUCCUCUUUACUGCCUCUCAGCGCCUCUGGCUCUAUAAAAACUUCAUGAUGCUAAGCCUAAUUAAGGAGGAAUUUUUACACAACCAUCUUACCCGUUCCGAGGCGAUUUAGUCUAAUGUCCUUCGAUACUCCGACGAAGGCGUAAAUUGCUGUCGGAGCCUUCUUCAUCAACUUUGUUGCUCCGGUAAUCAUGCAUGAGUAAUACUUCAUGGACUAUGGGUCCAUAGCAGUAGCUUUGUAGUAUCUCCUCUCUUUAUCUCUCUGUCCUUUAAUACCAAGAUCACAUGAGCUUCCUAACAUGAUUCUGUUGAGUUGUGAUAAAUUGCUGGUCUAUGAUCAGAUUAUAUAUAAUUCAUAGAUGUUUUUUGUUCUUUGCUCAUGAUCCAUAUAUGUACAUGCUCUCCGUUCUAUUAGUCCUGCGAUGACCAUGUUUAGAUGGACGAUCUCCAUGAGGGAGUGGUGUGUAUUGGUUGGGUUUAACCUUGCAAGUAAUAUAUCCCAAUGAGAAAGGGAAAAGGCAUUUAGUGUGUUAUUUCCACUAAGGAUAAGAAGAUAGUUGCCUAGUUGUCUCGGUGAUGAACUGGACGUGAGGAGCAUAAUGGGGGAGUGGUGUAUAUUGAUUGGGUUCAACAAUAUGUCAUCUUAUUUAAUGCAAUGCACUGUUUUUACUUAAUACUUUGAGAUGCAAGAUGAAUUUCGAUCUUGAAGUAGAGUAUUAGAUAUAGAUGCAAUUAGACAACGGUCUAUAUACAGACGGUCUAAUUAGACAACGGUCUAUAUAUAUAUAUACAUACGGUCUAUUCUGCUAAUAUUAGCAGAAUAACUAUUCUGCACACCACUUCCGCACUGCACGCUAAAUGCAAGUGCACAUCAUUCUUUGAAUCAAGUGUGCUGCAGCACUCACACGAGUGAACUUCUCGUCGGAAAAAACUGCACGCGUUAUUCUUUCGGUACUCUUUUCGCUCUAAUUUUUUAACCGUUUAUCAGAAUGAGGCAUGUAAUAUACUGUUGAAAAGCUAUGGAUUAGGCACAACUUCGACAUGUUGAACACUUUUCGAGAUUCCACACGGUUUAAGAGAAGUUUUGAAAAUGGUGCGGCCUAUGACGAGUGGCAGCAAGCGUUUUUUCGUGAUUUCUUCUAAACUUCUCGUCGGAAUAAAGCAAACGAUACACUGUUGGAUAGAUAUCGUCGAGCCGCAUCUUUUUCAUAUAUAAAUGUUUCUCUAAUUCCUUACGGUUUAAGAGCAGUUUCGAAUUUACUAAAUCGCGGAAUUCUGUUUUUCAAAUUUUUUCAAAUUUUUUGUACUGUUUUCACUCUAGUUUUUGAACCGUUUGUUGAAACGAGGCGUGUAAUAUGUGGUUGGAAAGCUAUGGACAAGGUGCAAUUUUCAUAUGUAGAAAUGGUUUUGAGAUUCUUUACGGGUUUAAGUUAAUUUUGAGGUGGACGACGGGUGACAGCGGUCGUUUUUCGCGAAAUUUUUACAAACCGCUUGUCGAAACGAUUGAAAUGAUAUGCCGUUGGAAAGAUCUCGAUGAGACAGAAGUUUUUCAUGUAAAACACACUCUCUAAUUGCUUAUGGUUUAAGAGCAGUUUUAAAAUUAGUGAAAAGCGGACACUCUGUUUUUUGCGACACCCAAAUCGUCGUGUGCACUGCAUCAGACAGAUGAGUGCACUGCUUCAGACUGAAAACUGUACUGCAUCUGACAGAUUAAAAAUUGUCAUGCGUACGCGACAAACGAAAUGCAUUGCAUCAGACAGAUGCGUGCACUGCUUCAGAGUAAAAACCACACUUCAUCGGACAGACAAACGCACUGCAUGAUUUUUUUUUGUGGGACAUAAUUUUUUUCAAACAAGAUGGAGUGCACUUCAUGUCGAGUGUUGGUGGACCGCAAUACUAUGAAAAGUGAACCUCGAGACUACCAUGAACGGCCGCGACACUAUCAAAAAUAAACCGCUUGAGCUUUUUCCAAACUCAAUAUUUUUUACGUGCAUAGACUGGACGAGUAGACCGCAGGGACCAAGCAAGUGAACCACAUGUAACGAGAAGUGAGCUGCUUUCCGAGGUGUUUUUGUUUCGGAUCACCAAAUGAACCACCAAGGAGUUUUAUGGCGAACUUCGUGAGAGAACAAAGUGAGCUUCAAAACAUACAUAUACAUUCAUUAUUUUUACACAGCUACACAGCCAUCGAGUACAUAGCAGAAUGAACGACGGAGUACCCAACUGUACUACACUAGGCUAAGACUUGCUUAUGCAAAAUUACCAUCCAUUUUUCUUACUACAAAAUGAACUUCAAAUGCACUAGGCAGUGCCCUUUUUCUCUCUGCGUUUCUCAUAAACAACAAAAUGAACUUCAAAUGAACAUCAAUGUUCUCUUCUUUUUCUUAGUGGGCGCACUUCUUCUUGAGUAAACUGCACAUUGAAGCAAACAAAACACCAACGAAGCACAAAGCAAACCUCUUUGAGUAAAUUGCACGACAGGUGGGAUUGCAAAAAAAGCAACGAACUAUGGCGGCGAGCACCGAAAUGAACUCGCCGGUGCCACCGGACUGCAUGUCUCACCACGAGCCUCGUGCCAUCGGAAUGCAAGCAUGCUCGCCGGUGGACUGGACAUCCAGCCGCACCGCACUGAUGCCCAAAGCAAACUGAAGUGUUGUGCCCAAGGGGAGGAGAGGAUGCCGGAGGCCGGUGCUUGUGGUGCCAAAUUGCAUCUCGUUCCUCGGCGCACUUCAAGCUCGAGGCGCCUGGACUGCAAGGGGAGGAGGCCAGCUCGUCUAGAGGACAUGGCAGAUUUCGCUAAUGAUGCAGCAGAGACCCGUCGUACUGCAUCAACCGUCGGGGACUGCUUUUGGACUACAGCAGGGGACAGCCUGCGGUGGAGCUAGGCAUGGACCGGGGUGAGGAGAGGUGAGGCCUUACGGCUGGCAGGGUCCUGGACGAUGGGAGGGACCAGUAGGGAGAGAUCGACGAUGCAGAGGGAAGCGAUGGGGUAUCCGUGGGCAGUUGCCGGGUCGAAUCCAUCUCCGGCGGCAUGGUGGGCCUCGGAUCCCUCGUCGUGGAGCACCAUGGGGAGCGACCUCUUCCAGAUUGGCCCCCACGGAUCUCACAAGGGGGCGGUGGCUCCAGUUCGCCGGCCUAGCCAACCGUCGGGAACUAUGGCUAGGAGGAAGGUGGGGGAGGGAGGUGGCGGCUCAUGUGGAGGAGGUGACGCCGGAUCCAGGCUGUCGCGGCUCCGGGGCGGCGGCCAUGACGCGGAUCCGGUGGCAGCCGGGGAGUGCGUGACGAGGAGGAAGGCGAGGGGGCUAGGGGGAAGGUAGUGGUGGGAGGUGGAGGCUCGUGUGGAGGAGGUGAGGCUGGAUCCAGGCCAUCGCGGCUCCAGGCUGGUGGCCAUGGGGCGGAUCCGAUGGCAGACUGGGCGAAGGAAUGGAGGAAGGUGAGGGGGAGGGGGCGUGUCGGGAAGAAGGUGGUUUCCUGGGGGUAGGUAGGUCCUCUGGGUUUAGUGGGGUUCGGGUCGGGACAUACACGCAGUUCAUUUGUGUUAGCAGAAUAAGCGAUUUGGUGUGCAGAAUAAGACUCUUAAGGGUGUUAUUAGAAUAGACCCACCAUAAACACUGCAAUUUAAUCGAUACAUAACUAUAGUUUAUUCACCAUGCAUAUGUUGUUUGGAGAGAUGACACUAGUGAAAUUUUGGAUUACAGUACUUUAUUCCUCCUAAAUACGACCUCGUUCUCUUACUUUAUUGUUAUUUAAUAUUAUGAAUUUCAAUUUCAAUUUCAUUUGCAUAUAAAAUAAUUUCCAUAUAGUCGAUACAUUAAUCCUUGUAACUAGAAAAGCUAAUGAAAUUGACAACCUCGAUAGUUUAGUUGGAGAUCAAGAAAAGUUUCUUAGUUGAGUGCAAGAUUGAUCAUCAACAAAUAGGAGAACUCCAAGGAUUUAUGCUUUGGUUCUCAAGUACUGAUGAAGUAUUAUUCUGAUAUUACAAACUCUUACUUUUGAGGGCCCAACAUAUAUUCAACUAAGCAACACUACUACUUGGGUUAUGAGGAAGCAAUAAGUGGGAACGAGCUUCGGAGGAGUCCAAGAGUGUCCUUAUCCUUUUGAAGGUGGCAUCAAAGAGUUCACCUUGACACAAAAUCAUUAUUGGUUGGAGCUAAGGUUCAGUGGUUGCUGGGGUGGCCAGAUCCUCUCUCACGGGGUUCGAUGAGAGUGUGGAGUGUGGAGCUCUGUGCAAAAGCUUUGUCCAAACGGGGGUCGGUGCCAGUGACGUUGGCGCCUAUGGGCACCAUUUACCCCUUGAAGGCAUUGUCGAAGACAUUCUUCUUCUCUACCGGGGUGUCAUUAGCCCACAGUCGUUCGCUUGUGCUAUUGGCAAGCUUGGCUGUUGGUGGUGUCUAAUUUUGGUUAGGGGUUGUUCGUGUUAAUUAUUGGGUUUUUUGCAUGCUUGCCCCAUAAAAAACCAUAUUAUUGUGUGAUUUUGACCUCAUUUUUCUUAGACCUUGUGAAUUCUCUUUUUCUUAAUGAAAUCAGAGCACCUUUAACCUCUCACGAGGUCCCGUAAAAUAAACCAAACCAUACAUACGAGGUAUUAAAAAGAGUUCGAAGUUGAGGUGCCAAUUGCAAUCCAUAUCGUUUCUCGUGGGUAUAUCAUUCGGUUGUCCGUCCGAGUGAAGGUUCCGUUACACC